rnacentral:rRNA from 1 species
GUAGGGAAUCUUCCACAAUGGACGAAAGUCUGAUGGAGCAACGCCGCGUGAGUGAAGAAGGUUCUCGGAUCGUAAAACUCUGUUGUGAGGGAAGAACAAGUACCGGAGUAACUGCCGGUACCUUGACGGUACCUCAUUAGAAAGCCACGGCUAACUACGUGCCAGCAGCCGCGGUAAUACGUAGGUGGCAAGCGUUGUCCGGAAUCAUUGGGCGUAAAGUGCGCGCAGGCGGUCCCUUAAGUCUGAUGUGAAAGCCCACGGCUCAACCGUGGAGGGUCAUUGGAAACUGGGGGACUUGAGUGCAGAAGAGGAAAGCGGAAUUCCAAGUGUAGCGGUGAAAUGCGUAGAGAUUUGGAGGAACACCAGUGGCGAAGGCGGCUUUCUGGUCUGUAACUGACGCUGAGGCGCGAAAGCGUGGGGAGCAAACAGGAUUAGAUACCCGGGUAGUCC